rnacentral:rRNA from 1 species
GACGAACGCUGGCGGCGUGCCUAAUACAUGCAAGUCGAGCGGACCACAUCGGUGGUCAGCGGCGGACGGGUGAGUAACACGUGGGCAACCUGCCUGUAAGACUGGGAUAACACCGGGAAACCGGUGCUAAUGCCGGAUAAUCCUUCUCUUCUCAUGAAGAGCAGCUGAAAGAUGGUUUCGGCUGUCACUUACAGAUGGGCCCGCGGCGCAUUAGCUAGUUGGUGAGGUAACGGCGCACCAAGGCAACGAUGCGUAGCCGACCUGAGAGGGUGAGCGGCCACCCUGGGACUGAGACACGGCCCAGACUCCUACGGGAGGGAGCAGUAGGGAAUCUUCCGCAAUGGACGAAAGUCUGACGGAGCAACGCCGCGUGGGCGAUGAAGGCCUUCGGGUCGUAAAUCUCUGUUGUCAGGGAAGAACAAGUACCGGAGUUACUGCCGGUACCUUGACGGUACCUGACCGGAAAGCCACGGCUAACUACGUGCCAGCAGCCGCAGUAA